rnacentral:rRNA from 1 species
GACGAACGCUGGCGGCGUGCUUAACACAUGCAAGUCGAACGGAAAGGCCCUGCUUUUGUGGGGUGCUCGAGUGGCGAACGGGUGAGUAACACGUGAGUAACCUGCCCUUGACUUUGGGAUAACUUCAGGAAACUGGGGCUAAUACCGGAUAGGAGCUCCUGCUGCAUGGUGGGGGUUGGAAAGUUUCGGCGGUUGGGGAUGGACUCGCGGCUUAUCAGCUUGUUGGUGGGGUAGUGGCUUACCAAGGCUUUGACGGGUAGCCGGCCUGAGAGGGUGACCGGGGGUAUUAGGAAGGGGGGACGGGCCAGACGCCAGCGGGGGGCGGGAGGGGGAAGAGGGAGCGGAGGGCGAGAGCAGGGGGCGGCGACGCGCCGUGGGAGAUGGCGCGUGUGGAGUUGAGACGCGAGAGCGGUGGUGAGAAGGGGAGGGAGGAGGUAAUGGGUAACAAAGAACAGACUGGCUACGGGGCAGCAGCUGGGGAAAGAGGGGGAAUGGCAUAGGGCCAACC